UGCUCAUAACUACUUGCUGCUUGUGUUGGUGUCUGUAAAGGAAAAUACGGACGCAGGAAAUUAGGCAGCUUCGUAGGUGGUAAUCAUGAAAGGCAGAAGUGCUCGAAACCAUGAAACCUGAUGCGCAUUUGCUAAAUACGGAAAGCAAAUUGUCUCCAGAAGUUCAGCCUUUUGUGCCUAACCAUUUGAAGGACCAGAAGCCCCCAGGGACUGCAUCCAAUGGCAGCUUAACAGGAACACGUCAAUGUUUCCAAGAACCUGGCCAGAGAGGAGCUGUGCCCAGAGACAGAAGACCCCGGAGUGAUCAGUGGAGCAUCUCCUCUCAUUUCACCAGAGAGAAGGGCCUCGCCAAGGACAGCCAGUCAAGUCAAGUGACCCGACAUGGCUACAGCAGUUCUCGCCGGGCCAGAAAGGCUCCUCGGAGUAAGCACCCAACCCUGGAUUGCUCACACUCUGAGCAGCCCAGACAGGAAUCCCAGCUGAACACUGACCUCUCCCAGCAGACUAGAAGAUCACUGUAUGUGAAGGAAGCCACUCUGUCAAAAGCAGAAAACAUCAAGGUCCAGCAGAGGGACUCGGAUUCUUUUGAAGUUAAACUGUCAGAUUUCCCUGAGUUGGGUUUACCUGCCCCUGGCCGAGGGGGGCUUGCACCCUCCCCUGUAGCCCCCGCUUCUACUCCACAAACUCCUGGCACGACCACUUCAUUAGGCAAAGGACAAACUGCGGACGCCCUUCAGAGAACUCCGACACCUAGGAGCCAGGAAGCGGUGUUAAAAUCCACCCGAGGUCACGCCCCCGGGCCUGUGGUUUCUACCCCCACAUCAUCCGCUGCCUCCUGGGCCACCGUAGCCUGCCAGCCCCCAAAACGGACCAGUCCCAGACCUGCAGGAACCAUCUCGAAGCCACCAUCAGCUUCAAAGGAGGAGGUGAAAAAUGAGGGACCAGGGAAAACCUCAGAGAAGAAGAAACGGAACAAGAAGAAGAAGAAGUCUAAACAAGUGGACGAGACUGAUGAAGCGAAGUCUGAGGUCCUGGGUGUGGAGCAAGACCCUCCGAAGUUCGAGGAUGAAGAGGAAUUCCCCAACCUGACUCAUGACGUGGUUGGUUGUACCAAAGGGCAAAGCCCCGCCCCUUCCCUCCUGGGGAAUCCAUCCAAGAUGCCCUGGGAGUUAAAAACCGAUGGAUCAUGGACAUGUGCCUUGUCCCGGUGUGGAUCGACCCGGGACAGCAGAGAUGUCACACCCCAUGUGGAUGGGCCCCCCCAUCAAGACAUCCAUGGAAAAAGCGGAGCCCCGGGCAGCAAACUCACACUGCCAGCCUCACCCACCACUGACAGCAAAAAGGGCCAGAAGCCUGAGAAGACAAGUGGCAAGAAGAGCAAGGUUCCUGUGCAGCUGGACCUGGGGAACAUGCUGGCCGUUCUGGAGCAGAAGCAGAUUUCCCAGAAGUCCAAGCAGGAAUCUAAACCAAUCAUCCUCUCAGUGGGGAGUGGCCCCCCAGUAGCCCAGAAGGAUUCUGCUCAGAAGAAGCACCCACGGCAGCCUGAGAAAAUUGCCCACAACCCAUUGGACUCCACCAGCCCCCUGGUGAAGAAGGGCAAGCAGAGAGAAGUGCCCAAAGCCAAGAAGCCCACGCCUCUCAAACGGAUCAUAUUGAAGGAACGUGAGGAGAGGAAGCAGAAACGGCUGCUGGAGGAGCGUGGCUUGGACGCCCCGGUCUCUGACCCCAAACUCUCUGCUGAAGAGGUAGAACUCGACGGUGUGGUGUCGGAGUCCGACGAGCACGGUCCCUCGGGUGAUGAUGAGCCAUGUGAAGAUAAUCCAGAGGAGCUCGGACCUCCAGAUGCAGAGCAGCCAGACGCAGAGCAACCUGCAGACACAAAGCCUGAGCAGGUGGAAGUCGAGCAGCAGCCUUCGAAGGAGAGCACCCCCGGGGAGGCAGAUGCCAUCCAACACCCCAAAAUUCACAGCCGGAAGUUCAGAGACUACUGUAAUCAAAUGCUCAACAAGGAUGUGGAUGAGAGCGUGACGGGCCUGUUGAAGGAGCUGGUACGCUUUCAGGACCGCCUCUACCAGAAGGACCCCAUGAAGGCCCGUAUGAAGCGCCGACUGGUCAUGGGCUUGAGGGAGGUGCUCAAGCAUCUCAAGCUCAGGAAGGUUAAAUGUGUCAUCAUAUCCCCGAACUGUGAACGCAUCCAAUCAAAAGGUACCUCCAUGGUCAAAUAUUAUUCCUGUGCUCGUUAAUGACAAACGUGUGAAGAUGGAGAAGUUAUAGCUAUUGUCUUUAUCUAAGGUUUACUGUUAAUCUGUAGCUCCUCAGACACCGGGGGCCUCGUUUAUCAAACUUUUUGUAAAUAUCAUUCUGGGAAAAAUGUGUAAGCAUCGAAAAAAAAGCAGUGCACAAAAAAAAUCUGAUUUAUCAAAUGUGACACAGGCAGGCAUGCCUCAGUGUCCAUUUGAUAAAUUGGAAUGGUCUUGUAAAUGUGUGUAUAUGCACAGGCCUGAGUUGCCACUGAUAACCUUAAAUAGUCAAUGCAAAUGAACUGCCCGUGCAUAUAAUAUGCAAAUCAAGCUUUUCUGGUUGUGAAGUCUGUCUAUAGUGACUGUAAAAAAUAAGAGUAAUUUUAAAGUGUUAGAGGCACAAUUAAAAUGUUAUCACUACAGUGUUGCCCCUAGAUUUACAGCUUUUGGGGGGUUAGACGGACACUGACAGGAUGGAUUCAUGGUGUUCAUGUGUUUCUUAUGACAGCAGUGGCGAUUCGACCCAUAAUACACUGCGGUUAUAGCGAGUGUGACGUCAGUUGACAAAGUCCGAUUGCGGAUGUUUGUCUUGACCUGCAAAUACGUUAACUGUUAGGCUUUAAGUGAUGGCUUAAAAUAGUGAUAGUUUUAAAGCAGAAAAUCCCAUUGUGAAACGUAUUUUUUACCCUGUUCGUGGUUAAGUCCCUCUUACAGUUUAAAAAACGCAGAUGUUUUUGUCUGCUUUUCAGAUGGUUGACGCGACAUAUUUUCCGACGCGCGCUCUGUCUGCUGGUGGGAGUGUGCUCACCUGUGUGUGCAUGCGCGCGCAUCGGGGCGAAACUCCGCCAUGCGUGAUACAGAGAGCAGAGGAUAAUUGUAAACGCACGACCGCGUAGAGACAAAACUGACAAGCUGUUAUGUAAAUAAGAUGACUAACAUAAGGCUAUUUAGUUUGUUUAAAAUAAGGACAGUGUAUAGACCUGUUCUAUAGGGAAGGUAACCUUAAAUGACGUCUGUUGUGAUCUAGCGCUAUAUAGAAAAUAAAAUAAAAUUUAGCUUGACCUUCAAAGGGGGGCAGGGGGUGCCGUUGGGGGGGCGAGGUGCCCCCCUAAUAUAAUGAUAGGGAAAACACUGCACAAGCAACAAAAUGUAUAGACGUAUAUUUUCAAAUUCAUCCAUCCAUCCAUUGUCCAACCCGCUUAUCCUACUGGGUCGCGGGGGGUCCGGAGCCUAUCCCGGAAGCAACGGGCACGAGGCAGGGAACAACCCUGGAUGGGGGGCCAGCCCUGUGCACAGCAGUCGGGCGAUUACAGAUGUGAUAUGAAAAACUCAAACUCAAAAUUAACAAAUGACAAGUUGACCCAGAUCAUUGAGUUACUAUAUCUGUCAAUGUCAUAUCGGCAUCACAGAUUAUUGUGCAUUAAUGGAAUGAAAUGGCUUCCAAUUAAAAAAAUAAUAACCUUGCCGCUCCAUGAAAACUCGUUCCUUUUUAAUCUUUCCAUUUAUGUAGUCACUAGCAAGAAUGCCUUUUAUAAGUUGGUCCAUGCAUACUGUCACGCCCAGCUCCGUACGAUCCUUGUGUGAGCAACGCCCACCUCGUUACCUCGUGUUUAUGCCUGAUUGUUCUCAACUGUUGCUUGUUAAACUCAGUCUGUCUUGUGUAUUUAUUCCACGUCUCGGUUAGUUUCCCUCAGAUCUGUCAUCGUCUAUACCAUGUGCGGGCUAGAUGAAACCCUCCACACCAUCAUUGACACGUGUCGCGAGCAGUCAGUGCCCUUCGUCUUCGCGCUGUCGCGAAAGGCUCUUGGCCGCUGUGUCAACAAGGCCGUGCCAGUGAGUCUGGUGGGCAU